UAUGUUAAGUAUUUACACUAGGUGGCGCCAUAUGCUAAGUAUUUACACUAGGUGGCGCCAUAUGCUAAGUAUUUAGUCGCCAUUGACCUUGAAAUCAUUAAGUCAUUGGAAAAUAAACAAAAAGUGGUCCACUCGAUACGCAAACCUGUGUGUAGUGAAGAAUGUUAUAAUCACUUAUUCAUCUGCUGGUUUAUACUUUACAUUAGUUUUGGAUGAUACCACACAUUUGAAAAAUAUGGAUGUAAUCACAGUAGUGUGGACUAGAUACGCUCCUGUAUGUGGUAUCAUUACAGUGGAUGUCAGGUGUGGAUCCAACCAUUGCGUUUAUUUACAUUGUGACGUAAUCAUCACUUAUUCUUCUCUUCAUUAGUUUCUUCAUCCAAGAGCCCCUGCAAAUCCUCCCCAGAACAAAAAAAGAUAUAUUUCUGUCAUCCCCAAAAAUCCAGAAACAUCAAAGUAGCUGAUACUGGGAGUGUCCCGAUACAAUACCGAUUGUACCCUUUGUCGAUACCAAAAUCAGUCUGAUACGAUAUCAGCAGGGUCCUCAGUCCCAAAGGGACAUUCGGUCCCUAAAUAUAUUUAAGAGAUGUGUUCUAAAACCCCCUCAGUAAUAGUCAGGUAACACAACAACAUUUUAUUUAUUCAUACGAUUCUUUUAAAGUUCAUUUUACCAUUUUUUAAAUUGAAAUCGAGGGGUAUGCUGGCAAAUAUAAGGCCCAAUGGCUAAAACCAAAAAUAUGAAAACCAGUAUUUUCAUGGAUAAGGAAGCCUAACAAGGUAAUCAAGAGAUGAGAAACUAAUUGGAUGAUAGAUAAUUGAUUUUAGUGUAUUUUACAGCUGAUUUAAAGUCCUACUGAAAGCCACUACUAGCGACCACGCAGUCUGAUAGUUUAUAUAUCAAUGAUGAAAUAUUAACAUUGCAACACAUGCCAAUACGGCCGCUUUAGUUUACUAAAUUGCAAUUUUAAAUUUCGCGCCGAAAUAUCCUGCUGUGACGUCACAGAUUGUAGAGGACAUUUUGUUCCAGCAUCGUUUAUUGUUUAGCUCGUCUGUUUUCAUCGCAAAAUUCCACAGUAUUCUGGACAUCUGUGUUGCUGAAUCUUUCGUAAUUUGUUCAAUGGAGACAUCAAAGAAGAAAGCUGUAGGUGGGAAGCGGUGUAUAGCGGCCGCCUUUAGCGACAUAAACACAGCCGGUGUUUCAUUGUUUACAUUCCCGAAAGAUGACGGUGAAGCUUUACUAUGGAACAGAGCGGUCAAGCGAACACGGUUGGAUUGGACCACACACACAAAGUACAGUGUAUUUUGCAGCGAUCAUUUAGAAAGAUUGUGUUUCGAAGAGGGUCCCUUGCGAAGGGCAGAGAUGGGCAUCGCCACCACCUGCCGACUGGUGCUGAAGAAAGAUGCGGGGCCGACCUUCAGGUUGUACAGGUACCAUAUAAUCUCACUAAAACACUAGUAACACAAUAAGCAGAUGAGAGAUUUUCCAGAAUUAUCCUAGUAAAUUUGUCUAAUAACAUCUGAAUCGCUCCUAUUUUUUUCUAGUCCUUCUCUCUCACUUUCCUCAUCCACGAAUCUUUCAUCCUCGCUCAAAUUAAUGGGGAAGUUGUCGCUUUCUUGGUCCGAAUCGCCCUCGCUACUGGUGGCCAUGAUUGUAAACAAUGUUCAGAUGUGAGGAGCUCCACAACCCGUGACGUCACGCGCACAUCGUCUGCUACUUCCGGUACAGGCAAGGCUUUUUUAUUAGCCACCAAAAGUUGCCAACUUUAUUGUCGACGUUCUCUACUAAAUCCUUUCAGCCAAAAUAUGUCAAUAUGGUGAAAUGAUGAAGUAUGACACAUAGAAUGGAGCUGCUAUCCCCGUUUGAAUAAGAACAUCUCACUUCAGUCGGCCUUUAAGUCACGGGUUGAAACCGAUUAGUUAACAUAAGAGAUGCUAACAGAAAGCUAACACAAGAAGAAGGUUAACAUACUUUUUUUUUGUUUUUUUCCAAAGCUGUGUCUUUUCAGCUGUGGGUAUUAAUAACAUAAAACCCCUCCAGGUGUGCAAGAACUCGAAUGCGUAACGACUGUGAUUAGUUGAACAGGUUAUUGUAGGUGUUUUGUCCUCAAGUCGCCAGCCUGUGCAGAAAUGUCAAUCAAAGCGUGUGCGACGGAAUGGACGACGUUAGCGUGCAAGGCUCUCGUGUGCAGCGUCCUCUCAGGCGUGGCUGCUGCCUUCGUCACGGGAAGACUUGGCGUCGGCGUGUCUCCUCCUGAAGGUGUUCAGCGUGCCAGCCAGCGAGGCUCUCUGGUAACAUUCCUGCAUCCGAGCGUCGUGCGGUGACACAUCGGACUUGCUUCCAGCAAACAUGCAGACCUGACUGUCCAAACUCCUCACACCAGAGACGUCCAACUCACGGCCCAGAUCUGACAUGCCACAUCAUUUAAAGUGGCCCACCCAGGCCAGGUAAUAC